rnacentral:rRNA from 1 species
AACCAGCACCUCAAGUGGUCAGGAUGAUUAUUGGGCCUAAAGCAUCCGUAGCCGGCUCUGUAAGUUUUCGGUUAAAUCUGUACGCUCAACGUACAGGCUGCCGGGAAUACUGCAGAGCUAGGGAGUGGGAGAGGUAGACGGUACUCGGUAGGAAGGGGUAAAAUCCUUUGAUCUAUUGAUGACCACCUGUGGCGAAGGCAAUCCCCUGGGCCUGCACUGACGCUCAUGCACGAAAGCGUGGGGAGCAAACAGG